rfam:Echinostoma caproni strain Egypt genome assembly, scaffold: ECPE_scaffold0004684
GCACUGCUGACGUGUCUCAAACAGGACGAAACAGCUGUCCAGUGC